GUAAAGAUUUGUAAAGAGUCGAUUCAGACUCUGUGCAAAGACAACUAUUCGACAAUUCGGCAUCAAACCAUUACAGGUUUGCCUGUUUGAUUGACAAAUCUAUUUAACCCCACAUAAACAAACCCAAAUUUUGACUAAUCAAAUAUUACAAAUGCCAAUCUGUUUAUUCAAUUCAUUUUGAACUAAUCGAUUUUGAUAUUUACGUUAGCUAUGAACAACUCUUAGCAACGGAUAUCUUGGUUCUCGUAACGAUGAAGAACGAAGCGAACUUCGAUACGUAAUGCGAAUUGCAGAAUUCAGUGAAUCAUCAAAUUUUUGAACGCAAAUUGCGCUCUUGGGAUAUCCCUGGGAGCACGCCUCUCUGAGUAUCGGUUCUAUCCAUCUCAACGACGUUUUCUUUCUCACGAAAGAGAGCGUGCAGUUGGAAAUUGAGCAUUGUCUCGCCUGAUCAACUUCGGGCGAGUCGCUUCAAGGAUAGCGAGUCGAAAUAAUAAGCUCGCAGCCCCAGUUGACAUUGAAUUUAGUAAGUGCUUUGUCACUUCCCCCACUUCUCUGUCGUUUUAAUACUGUUGUUUCGGCUGCUUCACAUGAGCCUAUCUCGAUGGAACACACCUUU
rnacentral:sRNA from 1 species